UCUCCGCGCCCAGGUAGGCAUCUGGAGCGCCGAGCCCGCCUCCCUGCGGCGGUGCCACCUGCCUCUAGGCUGUCUCGCCGGCUGGGAAGGGCGAUGGACGCCGCUGGCACGUGCCCGAGUACGGACACAAGGAUUUGUUCCAGACAUCCAUGAACAAACCAGAACGAAGCCCUUUCCCGCCAAACCACUAGGGCUUGGAAAUACACAGAAUACACAGUGCCGGCCCAAACUCUGGGAGCGGGAACCCGGGAGAAGACUUGAGCGGUAAGAGAUCUAGAGCAUUAGAAGGAGGGAGG
rnacentral:lncRNA from 1 species